GAACUCACUCUAUUUCAAAUGCGUCAUUAGCGUACAUUAUGGUGUGCUUAAUAGACGGAGCAAGAAUCAUGUGAAGCAAGAAAUUCAAGGCCUGUUCGGAUGUUCUCCGCUCCGCAUCUCUACUCCCGGAGUUGGAGGAGCAGUAGUUAAAAAAUACAGAGUGAGGAAAGAGCUACUUCACAGAUUCUCAAAUUUGACGGAAUUGGAGGCUUGCCGAACAGCUCCUCGGAUGAAAUUAUUAUGAUUGUAUAGAAAGAGAGCGACAGGAUGACCCUGAAGUACCAGGCCACAUACAUAGUCAAACAUAGGUAACCCUUCGAGAUAAUUGCCCGGAAUGAUUAGGUCUCUCUCCAUUCGACCUUAUCCCUGCAACCAAUAAUCAAAGGCGGUGGAGAUGCAUAAAAGAAGUUUCCUUUGAAGAGCAUGCCUGUUCAGGCUGGGCGACUCAUCUUUAUUUGCAGAGACUCAGCUGGCGUUGUUUUCUGCCGGAUCACAUGAUUGGUUUUCAAGUGCCGCGAACACAAAUUCCAGAGACCAUUAUAGAUGUUGAUUGCCACCCGAAAGAUUAAGAUGCCCGUGGUG
rnacentral:lncRNA from 1 species